rnacentral:rRNA from 1 species
GAAGAUAGUGGCGAACGGGUGAGUAACACGGUGGGUAACCUGCCCAUAAGGAGGGGGAUAACAUCCGGAAACGGGUGCUAAUACCGCAUAGUUUUUCUUGAUCGCAUGAUUGAGAAAGGAAAGAUGGCCUUUGUGCUGUCGCUUAUGGAUGGACCCGCGGCGUAUUAGUUAGUUGGUGAGGUAACGGCUCACCAAGACGAUGAUACGUAGCCGACCUGAGAGGGUGAUCGGCCACAUUGGGACUGAGACACGGCCCAAACUCCUACGGGAGGCAGCAGUAGGGAAUCUUCCGCAAUGGACGAAAGUCUGACGGAGCAACGCCGCGUGAGUGAAGAAAGGUUUUCGGAUCGUAAAACUCUGUUGUCAGAGAAGAACAAGUUGGAGAGUAACUGCUCCAGCCUUGACGGUAUCUGACCAGAAAGCCACGGCUAACUACGUGCCAGCCGCCGC